rnacentral:rRNA from 1 species
UACAGAGGGUGCGAGCGUUGUUCGGAAUUAUUGGGCGUAAAGCGCUUGUAGGCGGCCUGUCAAGUCGCGUGUGAAAUCCCCUGGCUUAACCAGGGAAGUGCGCGCGAAACUGAAGGGCUUGAGUGCCGGAGAGGGUCGCGGAAUUCCUGGUGUAGCGGUGAAAUGCGCAGAUAUCAGGAAGAACACCAAUGGCGAAGGCAGCUCUCUGGGACGGUACUGACGCUGAGACGCGAAAGCGUGGGGAGCGAACAGG